rnacentral:lncRNA from 1 species
CUUUCACCUCCUUUCCCCCCUUUCUGCUCCUCCCUCUCUCUCUCAUUCCCUAGUCUUUUGCACCCUUUCUCUCUGCCUGCUAGUGGAGUCACCAUGACAACGGCCUCCAUGACAAUUACAGCCCAGGCAGCAGUGCCUCUUCCCAUGAGGCACUCCAAUACUCACUUGGAAUUUGCUCCCUGAUUUCAUGGCCCAGGCAGUGAAUUUGCCUCACUCCCCAAGUUUCCACAAGGCCACAGGGAAUAGACUUGGUAGCCAACCACAGCCCCGAAGAUGGGAGAAAGCAAAGAAGGAAGAAUGAAGCAUGGGAGAGAAUGAAAGAGGAGAGGGGGAACUGAAGCUCUCAUCUUCCUCUUCUCUGAUGGAACACAAAGGACUCCAGCAAAAACAUCUGCUAAGCACCUAAUAUAUACCAAGCUUCAAUCCUGGCUUUGGAUACACAUGGAUGGUUAAUGACUUUGGGAUCUCUUAAUUUAGGAGAACUAUUAUCUGGACUUCAUGAACAAAAUCACAGUACUUAAAAGUCACGAAUUAAUUAUCUUCAUCUCUGAUGCCCAGAUGGACAUUACAACUCUGAGUUAUGG